AUGGACUGUCUCCAUACAGCCUUGCAAUCAACCAAUCUCCUGUCAGGAAACGGAACCAAUGAAGAAUCCCGAGAUGAGUUGAGACUGGCAGUUUGUUUCAACAUGACAAGAAUAAGGAAAGGCGGUUCCCCGUUUUAUAUGUUUGUUAAAAAUUGGAACAAAGAUACACUCAGGAGAUCAGCGCUCUAUGCCAUGAUCACAUCCUGCUUGGAACUGCUCUUGUUCCUUCCCUGUUUCUUUCCCUUUCUCGGGCCCAAAUUCAGAUACAAUGAUACAAAUGAUGGUACAAACUGGACACCAGUAAACAAGGGAGAGUGGACAUAACUUACUUGCUAAUGGGGCAGAUAGGCAGGGCUGGGGCAGGAAAAGCAGCUAAGUGGAUGGUAAGAUAAGGCCCCCUGUAGCUGGGAGGGGUGACUCAGCAGACACACAGCAUUAGUCAGGAGCUAAUCUCUAUCACUAUGACACAAAGCCCUGCCGUGCUUCAGGAUCAAGCCGGUCCUUAGAACCAGGGUGCCAACCUAUUCCUCCCCAAAAGCCAUCUCCUUUUCCAGGCUCCCUAAGUACCUGUGGGAGCGGAGGGAAGCCAGUUAACCCCUCGCUCAUGGGGGAGCAAGGA
rnacentral:lncRNA from 1 species